rnacentral:rRNA from 1 species
UACGGGGGGGGCAAGCGUUGUUCGGAAUUACUGGGCGUAAAGGGCUCGUAGGCGGCCAACUAAGUCAUACGUGAAAUCCCUCAGCUUAACUGGGGAACUGCGUGUGAUACUGGAUGGCUUGGAUUUGGGAGAGGGAUGCGGAAUUCCAGGUGUAGCGGUGAAAUGCAUAGAUAUGACCCGGAACACCGAUUGCGAAGGCAGCCCACUAAGCAACGAUUGACGCUGAGGCACGAAAGCGUGGGGAUCAAACAGG